UGGGGAAUCUUGGACAAUGGGGGCAACCCUGAUCCAGCGAUGCCGCGUGAGCGAUGAAGGCCUUAGGGUUGUAAAGCUCUUUCACCGGUGACGAUAAUGACGGUAGCCGGAGAAGAAGCCCCGGCUAACUCCGUGCCAGCAGCCGCGGUAAUACGUAGGGGGCGAGCGUUGUCCGGAAUUAUUGGGCGUAAAGAGCGUGUAGGCGGCCUGGUAAGUCUGCCGUGAAAACCUGGGGCUCAACCCUGGGCGUGCGGUGGAUACUGCAAGGCUAGAGGUUGGUAGAGGCGAGUGGAAUUCCCGGUGUAGCGGUGAAAUGCGCAGAUAUCGGGAGGAACACCAGUAGCGAAGGCGGCUCGCUGGGCCAUUCCUGACGCUGAGACGCGAAAGCGUGGGGAGCAAACAGGAUUAGAUACCCGUGUAGUCC
rnacentral:rRNA from 1 species